rnacentral:rRNA from 2 species
AGACCCGAAACCCGGUGAUCUAGCCAUGGGCAGGUUGAAGGUUGGGUAACACUAACUGGAGGACCGAACCGACUAAUGUUGAAAAAUUAGCGGAUGACCUGUGGCUGGGGGUGAAAGGCCAAUCAAACCGGGAGAUAGCUGGUUCUCCCCGAAAGCUAUUUAGGUAGCGCCUCGUGAAUUCAUCUCCGGGGGUAGAGCACUGUUUCGGCUAGGGGGCCAUCCCGGCUUACCAACCCGAUGCAAACUGCGAAUACCGGAGAAUGUUAUCACGGGAGACACACGGCGGGUGCUAACGUCCGUCGUGAAGAGGGAAACAACCCAGACCGCCAGCUAAGGUCCCAAAGUCAUGGUUAAGUGGGAAACGAUGUGGGAAGGCCCAGACAGCCAGGAUGUUGGCUUAGAAGCAGCCAUCAUUUAAAGAAAGCGUAAUAGCUCACUGGUCGAGUCGGCCUGCGCGGAAGAUGUAACGGGGCUAAACCAUGCACCGAAGCUGCGGCAGCGACGCUGAUGCGUUGUUGGGUAGGGGAGCGUUCUGUAAGCCUGCGAAGGUGGCCUGUGAGGGUUGCUGGAGGUAUCAGAAGUGCGAAUGCUGACAUAAGUAACGAUAAAGCGGGUGAAAAGCCCGCUCGCCGGAAGACCAAGGGUUCCUGUCCAACGUUAAUCGGGGCAGGGUGAGUCGACCCCUAAGGCGAGGCCGAAAGGCGUAGUCGAUGGGAAACGGGUUAAUAUUCCCGUACUUGGUGUUACUGCGAAGGGGGGACGGAGAAGGCUAUGUUGGCCGGGCGACGGUUGUCCCGGUUUAAGCGUGUAGGUGUGUGUUCCAGGUAAAUCCGGUUCACUUUAACACUGAGGCGUGAUGACGAGGCACUACGGUGCUGAAGCAACAAAUGCCCUGCUUCCAGGAAAAGCCUCUAAGCAUCAGGUAACAUCAAAUCGUACCCCAAACCGACACAGGUGGUCAGGUAGAGAAUACCAAGGCGCUUGAGAGAACUCGGGUGAAGGAACUAGGCAAAAUGGUGCCGUAACUUCGGGAGAAGGCACGCUGACACGUAGGUGAAGUGAUUUACUCACGGAGCUGAAGUCAGUCGAAGAUACCAGCUGGCUGCAACUGUUUAUUAAAAACACAGCACUGUGCAAACACGAAAGUGGACGUAUACGGUGUGACGCCUGCCCGGUGCCGGAAGGUUAAUUGAUGGGGUCAGCGCAAGCGAAGCUCCUGAUCGAAGCCCCGGUAAACGGCGGCCGUAACUAUAACGGUCCUAAGGUAGCGAAAUUCCUUGUCGGGUAAGUUCCGACCUGCACGAAUGGCGUAAUGAUGGCCAGGCUGUCUCCACCCGAGACUCAGUGAAAUUGAACUCGCUGUGAAGAUGCAGUGUACCCGCGGCAAGACGGAAAGACCCCGUGAACCUUUACUAUAGCUUGACACUGAACAUUGAGCCUUGAUGUGUAGGAUAGGUGGGAGGCUUUGAAGUGUGGACGCCAGUCUGCAUGGAGCCGACCUUGAAAUACCACCCUUUAAUGUUUGAUGUUCUAACGUGGACCCGUUACCCGGGUUGCGGACAGUGUCUGGUGGGUAGUUUGACUGGGGCGGUCUCCUCCUAAAGAGUAACGGAGGAGCACGAAGGUUGGCUAAUCCUGGUCGGACAUCAGGAGGUUAGUGCAAUGGCAUAAGCCAGCUUGACUGCGAGCGUGACGGCGCGAGCAGGUGCGAAAGCAGGUCAUAGUGAUCCGGUGGUUCUGAAUGGAAGGGCCAUCGCUCAACGGAUAAAAGGUACUCCGGGGAUAACAGGCUGAUACCGCCCAAGAGUUCAUAUCGACGGCGGUGUUUGGCACCUCGAUGUCGGCUCAUCACAUCCUGGGGCUGAAGUAGGUCCCAAGGGUAUGGCUGUUCGCCAUUUAAAGUGGUACGCGAGCUGGGUUUAGAACGUCGUGAGACAGUUCGGUCCCUAUCUGCCGUGGGCGCUGGAGAACUGAGGGGGGCUGCUCCUAGUACGAGAGGACCGGAGUGGACGCAUCACUGGUGUUCGGGUUGUCAUGCCAAUGGCACUGCCCGGUAGCUAAAUGCGGAAGAGAUAAGUGCUGAAAGCAUCUAAGCACGAAACUUGCCCCGAGAUGAGUUCUCCCUGAGACUUAGAGUCUCCUGAAGGAACGUUGAAGACGACGACGUUGAUAGGCCGGGUGUGUAAGCGCAGCGAUGCGUUGAGCUAACCGGUACUAAUGAACCGUGAGGCUUAACCUUACAACGCCGAAG